rnacentral:tRNA from 1 species
GGAAGGUUGGCAGAGCUUGGCUUAUUGCACUUGUCUUGAAAACAAGCGGGCUGUAGUGAUACAGUUCCGUGGGUUCAAAUCCCACACCUUCCUCCA